CCUACGGGUGGCAGCAGUGAGGAAUAUUGGUCAAUGGGCGCGAGCCUGAACCAGCCAAGUAGCGUGAAGGAUGACUGCCCUACGGGUUGUAAACUUCUUUUAUAAAGGAAUAAAGUGAGGCACGUGUGCCUUGUUGUAUGUACUUUAUGAAUAAGGAUCGGCUAACUCCGUGCCAGCAGCCGCGGUAAUACGGAGGAUCCGAGCGUUAUCCGGAUUUAUUGGGUUUAAAGGGAGCGUAGGCGGGUUGUUAAGUCAGUUGUUAAAGUUUGCGGCUCAACCCUAAAAUUGCAAUUGAUACUGGCAGUCUCGAGUACAGAUGAGGUAGGCGGAAUUCGUGGUGUAGCGGUGAAAUGCUUAGAUAUCACGAAGAACUCCGAUUGCGAAGGCAGCUUACUAAACUGCCACUGACAUUGAUGCUCGAAAGUGUGGGUAGCAAACAGGAUUAGAUACCCCAGUAGUC
rnacentral:rRNA from 1 species